UACGUAGGUCUCAAGCGUUAUCCGGAUUUACUGGGCGUAAAGUAUCCGUAGCCUGAUAUGUAAGUCUGUUUUCAAAUCCCACGACUCAAUCGUGGAAAGGGAAUGGAUACUGCAUAUCUAGAAGUUAUUGGGGGUUAGUGGAAUUUCCGGUGGAGCGGUGAAAUGCGUUGAUAUCGGAAAGAACGCCGAAAGCGAAAGCAGCUAACUAUGAUUAACUUGACGGUGAGGGAUGAAAGUUUGGGUAGCAAAC
rnacentral:rRNA from 1 species